ACCCUUCACGCUGCGCCACCGUCCGCCUGCCUUGGCAUCGCUGGUGCUGCUUCUUGUUGCGCCUUUUUCCGGCGUUCCCGCGCCGUUUGUGUGUGACUUUUAGGAUGUUCAAGGUCACGACAGCUGAGGACGUCAGCACGAAGAUCAUAUUCCAAUGAACGCGUGCUGCCAUGCCACAGGGGCGAAAGACCCUCGAUAUCGAUUUUCAAGGACACUUGCCCAGUAUAUCCACGAAAUUACUAUCCGUGCAUGUAUAUUGGUUGACUUAUUUGGCCUAAGUUGACGGAGUAACCUUUUUUUCUGCGUAUAUGUAUAAUGCGUAACAUUUCAAAUUUCUGAUUUGUUUCUGCAUUUUUAGAUAACGAGGCAUUGAAUAAUUCAGAAAUAACCGCAUAAUUAGAUCGCAUUUACAUAAUGUAGAACAAUUGCUUGCAGCACACAGCAAAUUUUGAAUAUUUUCCUAAUUAAUUUCGUAAUUUUUUCUUUCUUUCGUACGUAACUUUUAUAUGCACCUAUAUGUGCAACUAUUUUUUCUACGAUAUAUUGUAAAAAUCAACAGCAAGAAAGUUAUUAUCAUUCUGUUAUCAACAACGAAUAACAUUGGAAAUAAUGAGAACAAUUAUUCUAUAUAUAAAAAUCAGUGAGAUUGAUGAAAUUAAAUAAUUAACGAGGUAUAUGGUACUAUGAUAUAUGAUAAUAAAAUGUUCUACAUGCAUGUAAUUUUAUUGUUAAUCUUCCUGUAUAACCGAUUUAAAUAUUAUUUUAUUUUAAGGAAAUAUAGUAAUAAUCAGUAACAAUAACAACAAAACACUACUUAUAUAUUAGUAAUGUAUAAUAUUUUCCUUAAACUAACACCUAAUUGUACAUAUUCUUUAUGCAUGUACUCUCAUUAUUACCUGCCUGUACUGAACAAAAUUCCAAUUACGUUAUUCCACCUUCAUUUGAAUAUCAAAACCAAUAAUCGCAUUACGAGUGAAUUAUCUGUCGCCAUCAGAAUAAUACGCUACUAAAAUACACAUAAUACUAUAUCACAGUUAUAAAGGAACAAAAGGAGAGCCUAAGAAUAGUCUGUGGCUGUGGUGCAACAACUGUGCCAAUGUC